rnacentral:rRNA from 1 species
GAUGAACGCUGGCGGCGUGCCUAAUACAUGCAAGUCGAACGAAACUUCUUUAUCACCGAGUGCUUGCACUCACCGAUAAAGAGUUGAGUGGCGAACGGGUGAGUAACACGUGGGCAACCUGCCCAAAAGAGGGGGAUAACACUUGGAAACAGGUGCUAAUACCGCAUAACCAUAGUUACCGCAUGGUAACUAUGUAAAAGGUGGCUAUACUACCGCUUUUGGAUGGGCCCGCGGCGCAUUAGCUAGUUGGUAGGGUAAAGGCUUACCAAGGCAAUGAUGCGUAGCCGAAUUGAGAGGUUGAUCGGCCACAUUGGGACUGAGACACGGCCCAAACUCCUACGGGAGGCAGCAGUAGGGAAUCUUCCACAAUGGGCGAAAGCCUGAUGGAGCAACGCCGCGUGGGUGAAGAAGGUCUUCGGAUCGUAAAACCCUGUUGUUAGAGAAGAAAGUGCGUGAGAGUAACUGUUCACGUUUCGACGGUAUCUAACCAGAAAGCCACGGCUAUCUACGUG